rnacentral:rRNA from 1 species
CCCUUAGAUGUUCUGGGCCGCACGCGCGCUACACUGACGAAUGCAACGAGCUUAUAACCUUGGCCGAAAGGUCUGGGUAAUCUCCAAAUUUCGUCGUGAUGGGGAUAGAUUAUUGCAAUUAUUAAUCUUCAACGAGGAAUGCCUAGUAAGCGCAAGUCAUCAGCUUGCGUUGAUUACGUCCCUGCCCUUUGUACACACCGCCCGUCGCUCCUACCGAUUGAAUGGUCCGGUGAAAUCCUCGGAUCGAGCCGUGGGGCAACUCCGGUUCGAGAAGUUGAUUAAACCUUACCAUUUAGAGGAAGGUGAAGUCGUANCA